CAUUUGUUUAAUUUUUUUUUUUUUCAUUAUUGCACCAUGAUAAUAUCACAUGUGUAACCAGCACUUCUGUAUUUAUGUGGCCUGCCCUCUUCUGAUGGAUGGGCCGAAAAGAAAACAGCCACAGGCAUAUUUUAAUGCACCGAGAUAUUGUAACAGGCUGCAACUCCCUUCUGGCUUUUACUGAGGUGUCCGUUUUGCUGAGAAUUAUGCUGCGUUCACGUUGCCUCGGAAAUUGGAGCACAAGUGUUUUGAACAACGUCAGACCCGACUUACUGUAGUUAACUGUUGUGCUGAAGGCAGGCUAAGUACCAGAACCAAGUUAGCAAUUUCUCUGAACUGUGAGCAUUACGACACUUCUUUACUAAGAAACGGUGAACAGUACUGUUUUGUGGUUUUCGACUUGAAACCCAUAAAAUCCGACAGCGGACUGGAACGCACCGUUUUCGGCAUUUCUACUAAAGUUUCUCAAGGAUAUCCGCUGAGGAAAAAUAAGAGAAGGGCAUCGGUCACACUGCUCACUAUAAACUCGCCUCCACCAUCACGCUGUGGCUUCAGACAAACAAGACCGGCUCUGGUACCAUGAAUCUGGGGCGGGCAGCCUCACAGGACAGAUGAAGAAAGACGAGACGGUUGGAGAAUCCUCACCUCAACGUCGCCAACAUCGGACGCCUUGUUGAGG